rnacentral:rRNA from 1 species
GUUGGGGGCAUCAGUAUUCUGAAGCGAGAGGUGAAAUUCUUGGACCUUCGGAAGACUAACAACUGCGAAAGCAUUUGCCUAGGAUGUUCUCUUUAAUCAAGAACGAAAGUUGGGGGAUCGAAGACGAUCAGAUACCGUCGUGGUCUCAACUAUAAACUAUACCAGCUAGGGAUCGGCCAACGUUAUUUUAUACCGACUUGGUCGGCACCUUAUGAGAAAUCAAAGCAUCUGGGUUCCGGGGGGAGUAUGGUCGCAAGGCUGAAACUUAAAGGAAUUGACGGAAGGGCACCACCAGCCGUGGAGCCUGUGGCUUAAUUUGACUCAACACGGGAAAACUUACCAGGUCCAGACAUAGUAAAGAUUGACAGAUGGAUAGCUCUUUCUUGAUUCUGUG